CAAAGUAUAGCUAGUAAGUAGUUUAGUAUUUCAUUUACAUUGAAGUGAGUUAUCGUGCAAAUCGGUUUACUUUGA
rnacentral:tRNA from 1 species